rnacentral:rRNA from 1 species
CCUACGGGAGGCAGCAGUGAGGAAUAUUGGUCAAUGGGAGAGAUCCUGAACCAGCCAAGCCGCGUGAGGGAAGACGGCUCUAUGGGUUGUAAACCUUUUUUGUCGGAGAACAAAACCCGGGACGUGUCCCGGACUGCGCGUAUCCGAAGAAAAAGCAUCGGCUAACUCCGUGCCAGCAGCCGCGGUAAUACGGAGGAUGCUAGCGUUAUCCGGAUUUAUUGGGUUUAAAGGGUGCGUAGGCGGUCCGUUACGUCAACGGUAGAAUUGCGGGGCUCAGCCCCGUCGAGCCGUUGAGACUGGCAGACUGGAGUUGGCGAGAAGUACGCGGAAUGCGCGGUGUAGCGGUGAAAUGCGUAGAUAUCGCGCAGAACACCGAUUGCGAAGGCAGCGUACCAAACUAUAUCUGACGUUGAGGCACGAAAGCGUGGGUAGCAAACAGGAUUAGAUACCCCGGUAGUC